CACCUCCUGGGCACUGCCGAGGUGCCCUUGAGCAAGGCACCGAACCCCCCAACCGCUCGGGGCGCCUGACCAAGGGCAGCCCCCUCACUCUGACAUCUCUCCACUUUGUGCAUGUAUAGGUCCUGUUUGUGCAUGUGUGUGUCUUUCGGACCUGUGUGUAAUUGACAACAGAGUGAAAACAUUGAAUUUAAACUUAAACUUAAACUGAAAACAAUCUUUGUUAUACCGAGGUAACGAAAUAAUAAAUCGUUAUCACGAGAUAACAGUGCACAAAAAAAAAAAAAUACAUGGCCGUUCUCGUAUUCCGUGCUGGACAGCUAUGUUGUCUAUGUAAUAAUACGUCGGUUAUGCCCAGGUAUUGAAUCAAAUGUGUUUUAAGACAUUUUGCUUAGUUCACCUUAUUGUCUAUUUGUCUCAUCGUGUUUCAUGGACACGGCGAUGUGAAUAGCGCUGUUUCAGCUCAUUUCUGCUCACUUUUGAGGACUUCAGGGUCUGUUUUCCUCUGCUGAAUGAAACCAUGGCGACACGAAAUGCGGGUACCUUAUUGGUGUAGCGCGAUCACAUGACGGCCGUGCCACCACUCGUGUACCAAAUCUCAUUACGCUCAGAACAAGUGCCGAAUUACAACCCCGAUCACAGGACUCUUGCGGGGUUAUGAGCUACGAACUCCCGCUGAUUAGCUGAACAUGUAUCGAUCUUUUUUAUGAAGUAAAGCUCGUGUAGUCCCCAGAUGUCGGAGCGGAAAUCAGUUUCUGUGAGACUUUUUCUGAUUCACCUUACAGCCUAAAUUGAAAGAUUAGAUUAUAAUUUUGAUCGUGUGUGACAGGCCGAUGAUGACGGGUGAAGUAACUGGUCUCAUUUCUCCACAUUGAUCUGUUACAGUUCAGUUUGAGCUCCGUCACGUUACAGAAGUUUUUAUGAUCCAGAUAUUUGAGGAUGAUUUCUGAUCUGAUAGACGAGAUGCUCUGUAAAACAUAUUGAUCACUGUGUGUAGAUGAGGUCAGUGAUGGAGAGGUAUCGCAGUAUUGUAUGUGGGAAAAUUGAAACGAUAGAUGGAGGCCAAGUAUUGAUCUUAUACAUUUUUAUAAAUGAUUAAUAUUGCUAAUACAAAGUAAACCUGUGGUAGUUUACUAGAAUAAUAAAAUCAGUCCAGGAGAUAAAUUCUGCUGCAAUAAAAUAAAAAGUAUUGAAGAGAGAAACUUUGUCUAUAAAAUAUAAUCUUAUUAAAUGAAACAGAAAACAGACAAAAUUUACUGUUAAAUACAGUAAAAAAAUCACAAUAUAAUCCAGAUUAUCUUAUUUCAGUUCUCAGCACGUCAGAAAACAUUUAAAAUCACAGCAAAAAUGUAUCGUGAUGAAAUCGUAUGGUCACUGUUGGGAUCAUAUAUUGAGAUUGUAUGUUCUGUAUGGUUGAGCUGUGGUGAUUCACUGGGCCGGGUAUCGAUUGAAUUUUAUUGAUUCUGAAUCUUAUUAUGAUUCUGCUGCGAUCGAUUCAGAGUUUUGAUAUUAAUAUGAUUUAAAACAAAAAAAAGGUGACGUGUAGUAGGGAUGUAACGAUACCAGAAACUCACGAUACGAUAUAUAUCACGAUAUUUAUACAAGGGGAAAAAAAGAGAAAAUUUAUUGUUAAAAAUAGCUAUUUUAUUCAAAAAUAGUGCAUGUACACUGUACAGCAUGUUAUUUUUAACUUGGAAGCGUAUCAUAAACAAAUCAACACACAGUUGAACAUGUGCUUUCAUUUCCCCCUAUUACUGCUAGGCAGGCAGACAUUAAAGUGCCAUAACAAAGUCAUGUCAAUUAAAACUAUAGUGACAGAAUAUGAAAAUGGAAACAUUCAGUAUUUUUUAACCUACUCUGAACAAAAGUAGUGUAGUACUAUUACUAGAAAGUCAUCUGAAUGACAUCAAAUUAUGAGGAUAGAGUAGUCUUAAUAUUCAUCAAAUAUACAGAACUUAGAACAAUCAGACCCUGCAACAACAACAAAUUAGAAAUAAUGUAAACUCAAUAACACACAAUCCCUCACUCACCGAUACACAGAGAGAGAGAGAGAGAGAGAGAGAGAGGUGGGUAGAGAUGUGUGUAAAAGAAAACCAAAAUAAAUGAAGCCCAGCCAUUUCCCUGGAAGUCAUAGAAAAACUCAAACACACAUUCACUCAGUUUGUUCACGCCAGGUUGACAAUCUUGACAUCAAGGAGACCCUAACACUUUCUCAGAACAGGAGAUGAGGAGAGGAAAGCUCUGCUCCUGCGCUUUCAUGUGAUAUGCGUGGCAUUUCUGUGCGACCCUGCAUUCGCGAGUAAUCCAUCCAAAAGUAAUGUGUGUGCAGAGCCGUAUGAAAGCUUUGUUAUACAUUAUUUUAGUGUAACUUUAUCAUUUUUUUUCACUGUGAAAACAUUGGACUACCGACAAGUGCUUGGUCUUGUCGGAAAGCCACGAUUACGCUGUUUCACGUGAUAUGUGAAACGUUAUGACGAACGGUCGCAGAGAAAAUCCACAGAGAAGAACAAUCAAUCUCCUUACUUUUAUUCGCUGUUUCCUCCGGUCACGCACGGGUCAGAGUCGGAGGCUGAGCUGCACGAGUCUACUCUCACCUGCGCGUGCAGUUGCAUGCAAAGGUAUAGCUAUAUAACUACCGUGGCAUUCACACGACGGUAUCGAGAAUUUAUUUUAUCGCGACACUGCGAAAUUCGACAUAUCGUUACAUGCCUAACAUGUAGAGAUAAUAUUAAUGAUGACUGUGUCACUGAAAUAAUUUCCUUCUUUUAGUUUCACUUAAAGAAACAACUCAGUUCAUAUUAAUAUAUUAAUGUCUUAUUUUAGCUUUGUUUAUUUCUGUACUCUGGAGUGUGUGUGUGUGUGUGUGUGUCAAGUCAAGUCAAGUCAAACUUUAUUUAUAAAGCACAUUUAAAAACAACCUCAGUUGACCAAAGUGCUGUACAGUUAUUGAAAUAUAAAAUAAUCAUACACAAAUUUCAUAAAAAAUAAAACAAAGGAAAUAGUAAGAGCUCAAUUUUAAAAAAAAAACAACAACUAAAAAUUAGAUUAAAAAAGGAAAUAAAAGAGUAAAAAGAGUAAAAGCCAAGGAUUCUUGCCUAGCAGGGACUGAACGCCAAGGAGAAAAGAUGGGUUUUCAGUAAUGUUUUAAAGUGCUCAACAGACUGUGCAGCUCUAACCUGGAAUGGUAGGCUGUUCCACAGCUUUGGGGCCGCCACUGAGAAGGCUCUGUCCCCACGAGUAGAGAGUCUGGACCGAGGUACUGCCAGGAGCAGCUGGUUUGACGACCUAAGUGCUCUAGAAGUACUGUGAGGCUGUACAAGCUCUGAUAAAUAAGACGGUGCCAGACCAUUUAAACACUUAAAAACAAUUAAUAAAACCUUGAACUGGAUCCUAAAAUUAACAGGCAGCCAGUGCAAAGAUGCAAGGACAGGACUAAUGUGAUCACGCCGUUUCUUUCCAGUCAGCAGGCGGGCAGCUGCAUUUUGGACUACCUGUAAACGGCGCAGUGCUGACUGGUCAAGACCAACAAACAAAGAGUUACAGUAGUCUAGGCGUGAUGUAACAAAGGUGUGAAUAACUUUCUCAAAAUAAUCUCGGGGGAGAUAAGCCUUUACUUUUGCUAAUAGUCUUAGCUGGAAGAAGCUCGUUUUGACAAUAGAGCUGUGUGUGUGUGUGUGUGUGUGUGUGUGUGUGUUUGUUUGUUCCUUAUUUGUUGCUUAUUUUGUCACUUCCUGUCUCAGUGUGUGUGAUGUGAAGAGAGGAGCUCACAGAUACAAACAUUAAACUCAGAUAUUAGGUUUUAUAAUGUAGAAUAACAAACAUCUGGAGCACAGGAUACUGCAGACAUGUAGUACAGGACGUUAAACACACGGUCUUUGAAUGCAGCACACGUCGUCUCAUCUACAGAAACAUAUUUAAAUAUAUGACGUCAUGUCACUAUGUUUUUGGUGUCAGUCACUUUAACAGGACGUCAGCAUGUUAAAGUUCCCCUUCAUGUUUAGCAGUAUAAAUCUGAAACUGUUCACUUACUGCCCUGACAUAUUUUAUAAAGACCUGAGGCAGUGUGUCAGACCACCGUCUGUGUGCGAGACGUCAGCGUCAUGGCGUCAGGGAGGCAGAUGUAUAGAUAAAUUGUUCCAGGAGUUUAAUGUCCUCCCUCCUGCCUCGUCCUGAACAAACUGAGAGUUAACUGAGAGCAGAGCGACACAUACAAAGAUCAUGUUUCUUUACUUGAGCCUUUAUACGUCUGUUUUUCUUUCUGUCGCUCCACAUUCUGUCUGGCCUGUCUGACUCCCUCAUCAACUCUGUAAUAAACUAUAAUUAUUCAGCCAACAUUCCCCACGCGCUCACGUGUCACUGCUGCUAUCUGACACCGCCUGAAUCCACUCGGCUCACGCACCCUGACGCACAUGUUUGCAGUAGAGACUCGACAGGAGCUGAUUGGACCGUGGAGUUUAUCACAGUGGACUUCAGGCUGGGACGGCGUGUCCAUCAGUCCACAUGUGGGCGGGACAGGAAACUGAUUUCUGACUCUGCUGAUUGUGGAUUCAGUUUAGUUUAAAUAUCAAACAGUUUGUAGAAAGUUUGUUUUCAGAUUGUUUCUGGUGUUUGGGCCGUGAACGCACCACGAGUACUGCUCUUUAGUUUUUACACCCAGAGGUUAAUAAAAAUAAGUGUGAGCUGCAGAACAGGUUGGACAGGUGUGUGUCUGACCUGCAGAACAGGUCGGACAGGUGUGUGUCUGCAGCUCAGUUACAGCUCACACCUUUUUAUUUAAAACAAGAAAUGGAAAAGAAAAAGUCAAACACAUGAUGAAACGUUCACAUGAAUUAACUGUGAAGAUGCAGCUGCAGCAGGCGGCCGAGCACCGUCCCUGUUUUAUGAUCCUGUUUAAAUUGUUCUCAAAUAAAAACAGUCACAAUGGUCUUUUUUCUGCACCAUCAUGUUGUCUGCGUGCAGUGAUGUCACUGCGUUGCGCUACAGGCGGUCCUAAAGACGGUGACGAGAUGUGGCGGCAGCAGAUGAGCAAGUCGAUAGGAACGUCUGUAGAAUAUAUUUUAUUUAUGACACAGUUUUAAUACUUUAAUGAGUUAUUCUGGUUUAUUGUUUUCUGAAACCUUUGAGCUCAGCUUUGAAGAUCCUCCAGGAAGUGACAUCACAAUAAUCAGAAACACCAGCACAUGUAAAAUAAUUGAGGACCCCUCUCAUGUGUUAAAUUCAGAAUACGAACUGUUACCCUCUGGCAGACGUUACAGAAUCCCAGUAAAAAAUAAAAAAAGGUUUUUGAACAGGUAUAAAUUCUCAUUCAUUCCACUAUCCAUUACCCUGUUGAACACAGGCCGGUAAUGUAUGUAUGUAUGUAUGUAUGUAUGUAUGUAUGCACUUAGGUAGGCACUUUAUGAUUGUAUGUCUGUAUGGAGUAUGUGGGUAUGGACUUUAGGUAUGCACUUUACGACCGCACUUUAUGUCUUUAUGUCUGCACUGUCAGCACUUGUGUUUCUUGUUUAUGUUAUGUGUUAUGUCCUAGGUAGCAGCCUGUGUAUGUCCAACACAAAUUUCCUUCGGGACUAAAUAAAUGAAUCUUGAAUCUUGAAUGUAGUGAUGGCCUGUCUCCACAGCAGAGCUCAAAGGGUUAAAACAUCUGAAACAAACAAUGACCUUUCACAGCGGCCCGACCCGACACGAUCAAACAGUACUCAGGACGUAUUUCAGAUGAAACCCGGCGCCGCAGGUCGCUCAGAUAUCAGGAGGACAGUAAAUUACCCAGAGUUCCCAUUGUCAGCUUAGGAGGUCCACGCUCACUCAGGUCUGACACAGAUGUGACACAGAUGUGACAGGUUUGUUCUGCAGCGGUGAGUCGUGGCGUUUAAAUAAACAACCUGAAUGUGAUAAGUAUGAGCGAGUGAGAUAUCAGCAUGUGUGUCGGUGAGGCGUGACGUGACGUGGCGUCCGAUCUGGGGUUAUGUAAGGUCACAGAACAGAAUCUAAUCUGUGAGCUGAUAGGACGUCUCUGCACUGUGCAGUUUAUUUUCUUGUGUUGCAAAAUGAGACGAAGAAAAGCUGCAGAGUUUCACAUGCUGGUCAGAUGAUGAUGAUGAUGAUGAUGAUGAUGAUGAAGAGAAAACAUCAGGAAGGCUCGGGGCGCUGUGUGAGACUGUAGUUCACACUGACAGUCACAUGUGUCUCCAGUCUGAAGACUUAAAUAUCAAUCUGAUAAGACACAGACGUCCUCUUUGUCCUCUGUCUCCGUGCCACCUCAGAGAUCAGUGAUUGGUGGAGCUUAACUAGACACACAUCUGUAUAUGGAGGUUAAUGGGACACAUAUCUGUAUAUGGAGGUUAACGGAACACACAUCUGUAUAUGGACGUUAACGGGACACAUAUCUGUAUAUGGAGGUUAACGGAACACAUAUCUGUAUAUGGAGGUUAACGGAACACACAUCUGUGUAUGGAGGUUAACGGGACACACACAUCUGUAUAUGGAGGUUAACGGGACACGUCUGUAUAUAGAGGUUAACGGAACACACAUCUGUAUAUGGAGGUUAAUGGGACACAUAUCUGUAUAUGGAGGUUGACAGGACACGUCUGUAUAUAGAGGUUAACAGGACACGUCUGUAUAUGGAGGUUAACGGGACACAUCUGUAUAUGGAGGUUAACGGGACAUAUCUGUAUAUGGAGGUUAACGGGACACGUCUGUAUAUGGAGGUUAACGGGACACUUAUCUGUAUAUGGAGGUUAACGGGACACUUAUCUGUAUAUGGAGGUUAACGGGACACAUAUCUGUAUAUGGAGAUUAACGGGACACGUCUGUAUAUGGAGGUUAACGGGACACAUAUCUGUAUAUGGAGGUUAACAGGACACGUCUGUAUAUGGAGGUUAACGGGACACGUCUGUAUAUGGAGGUUAACGGGACACAUAUCUGUAUAUGGAGGUUAACGGGACACGUCUGUAUAUGGAGGUUAACGGGACACAUAUCUGUAUAUGGAGGUUAACGGGACACGUCUGUAUAUGGAGGUUAACGGGACACAUAUCUGUAUAUGGAGGUUAACGGGACACUUAUCUGUAUAUGGAGGUUAACGGGACACGUCUGUAUAUGGAGGUUAACGGGACACAUAUCUGUAUAUGGAGGUUAACGGGACACAUAUAUGUGUAUCUCUUCAGGUUGAUUUCAGGACCUCUAUUGAUCUCUGAUCAGAGCUGAAACCAGGACAGAAAUCACAUCUGGUUAUUUUCAGGCUGAACAACAACACACGAUUUAUAUCUCAAUCUUUUCUACAUGUUCACAAACACGUUGAUAAAAACACACUGAGAUCAAAAUAAAAUAUAGAGACGGGGAUUUUAUUCACUGUUUGAAAAUAUACAGCUGCAAAACAUGUAAAUGAACUAUGAUAGAAAAUAAACAGCAGGACAGUACGUUAACUUUUUAUUUUAUUUUUAAUAAUUUACUUAUUUUUAAAUGGAUAACAGGGCUGUAUGUUCACUGUUUAUUUGUUUAUUUUAUUUAUUUUUAAAAUCAUGUGUGAGAGGAUGAACUGGUGGAUCAUGUGUGAGAGGAUGAACUGAUGGGUCGUGUGUGAGAGGAUGAACUGAUGGAUCAUGUGUGAGAGGAUGAACUGAUGGAUCAUGUGUGAGAGGAUGAACUGAUGGACCGUGUGUGAGAGGAUGAACUGAUGGACCGUGUGUGAGAGGAUGAACUGAUGGGUCGUGUGUGAGAGGAUGAACUGAUGGAUCGUGUGUGAGAGGAUGAACUGAUGGAUCGUGUGUGAGAGGAUGAACUGAUGGGUCGUGUGUGAGAGGAUGAACUGAUGGGUCAUGUGUGAGAGGAUGAACUGAUGGUUCAUGUUG